GAUAAACGCUGGCGGCGUGCUUAACACAUGCAAGUCGAACGAAGUUUUUCUUUCGGGAGGAACUUAGUGGCGGACGGGUGAGUAACGUGUGGGUAACCUGCCCUGUACAGGGGGACAACAGCUGGAAACGGCUGCUAAUACCGCAUAAGCCCUUAGCACUGCAUGGUGCAUAGGGAAAAGGAGCAAUCCGGUACAGGAUGGACCCGCGUCUGAUUAGCCAGUUGGCAGGGUAGCGGCCUACCAAAGCGACGAUCAGUAGCCGAUCUGAGAGGAUGUACGGCCACAUUGGGACUGAGACACGGCCCAGACUCCUACGGGAGGCAGCAGUGGGGAAUAUUGCACAAUGGAGGAAACUCUGAUGCAGCGACGCCGCGUGAGUGAAGAAGUAUUUCGGUAUGUAAAGCUCUAUCAGCAGGAAAGAAAAUGACGGUACCUGACUAAGAAGCACCGGCUAAAUACGUG
rnacentral:rRNA from 1 species